GCAGACACAUUCCAGCCAAUCAGCAGCAGACCCUUCCUCCCAGACCCUCCCACCUCCUGGACAGCAUCCAUUUUGAAGCUGCAUUCUUAGUGAGCUGUCCAGGAGGUGGGAGGGUCUGGGAGGGAGGGUCUGCUGCUGAUUGGCUGGAAUGUGUCUG